UACGUAGGGGGCAAGCGUUGUCCGGAAUUAUUGGGCGUAAAGAGCGUGUAGGCGGCCAGAUAAGUCCGCUGUGAAAUCUCGAGGCUCAACUUCGAGCUGUCGGUGGAAACUAUCUGGCUAGAGUCCGGAAGAGGAGAAUGGAAUUCCUGGUGUAGCGGUGAAAUGCGCAGAUAUCAGGAAGAACACCCGUGGCGAAGGCGGUUCUCUGGGGACGGUACUGACGCUGAGACGCGAAAGCGUGGGGGAGCGAACAGG
rnacentral:rRNA from 1 species